GUCACCACCCACCUCUUAAACUCUGACGAAUUUUGAAGUGGGAGCUUCUAAAAAGCACUAGUUGAUUAGGCUAAAUGCUUAGAGUAUUAUCUUAUCCACGAAUGUAUAGAAACCUCAGGAUGUACAACCAAGUCUCAUGCUCUGCC
rnacentral:sRNA from 19 species